GAGGGUUUGAUCCUGGCUCAGAUUGAACGCUGGCGGCAGGCCUAACACAUGCAAGUCGAGCGGAUGAAGGGAGCUUGCUCCUGGAUUCAGCGGCGGACGGGUGAGUAAUGCCUAGGAAUCUGCCUGGUAGUGGGGGAUAACGUCCGGAAACGGGCGCUAAUACCGCAUACGUCCUGAGGGAGAAAGUGGGGGAUCUUCGGACCUCACGCUAUCAGAUGAGCCUAGGUCGGAUUAGCUAGUUGGUGGGGUAAAGGCCUACCAAGGCGACGAUCCGUAACUGGUCUGAGAGGAUGAUCAGUCACACUGGAACUGAGACACGGUCCAGACUCCUACGGGAGGCAGCAGUGGGGAAUAUUGGACAAUGGGCGAAAGCCUGAUCCAGCCAUGCCGCGUGUGUGAAGAAGGUCUUCGGAUUGUAAAGCACUUUAAGUUGGGAGGAAGGGCAGUAAGUUAAUACCUUGCUGUUUUGACGUUACCAACAGAAUAAGCACCGGCUAACUUCGUGCCAGCAGCCGCGGUAAUACGAAGGGUGCAAGCGUUAAUCGGAAUUACUGGGCGUAAAGCGCGCGUAGGUGGUUCAGCAAGUUGGAUGUGAAAUCCCCGGGCUCAACCUGGGAACUGCAUCCAAAACUACUGAGCUAGAGUACGGUAGAGGGUGGUGGAAUUUCCUGUGUAGCGGUG
rnacentral:rRNA from 1 species